GGAAAGCGCCGAGGAAAUCGGGUCGAGAAAAGAGAUAAAAGGUACCCCGGGGAUAACAGGCUGAUCUUCCCCAAGAGUCCAUAUCGACGGGAUGGUUUGGCACCUCGAUGUCGGCUCGUCGCAUCCUGGGGCUGGAGUCGGUCCCAAGGGUUGGGCUGUUCGCCCAUUAAAGCGGUACGCGAGCUGGGUUUAGAACGUCGUGAGACAGUUCGGUCCCUA
rnacentral:ncRNA from 1 species